rnacentral:misc_RNA from 1 species
GAUGAAGAACGUAGCGAAAUGCGAUAAGUAAUGUGAAUUGCAGAAUUCAGUGAAUCAUCGAAUCUUUGAACGCACCUUGCGCCCUUUGGCCAUUCCGAAGGGCAUGCCUGUUUGAGUAUCAUGAACACCUCAACUCUUCAUGGUUUUCCAUGAUGAGCUUGGACUUUGGGGGUCUUGCUGGCCUGUGGGUCGGCUCCUCUCAAAUGAAUCAGCUUGCCGGUUUUUGGUGGGCAUCACAGGUGUGAUAACUAUCUACGCUUGUGGUUUUCCACCAGGGUAACCUUCAGCAGUGGAGGUUCACUGGAGCUUACAAAUGUCUCUCCUCAGUGAGGACAGCCCUUUGAAUGUUUGAUCUCAAAUCAGGUAGGACUACCCGCUGAACUUAAGCAUAUCAAUAAGCGGAGGA